rnacentral:rRNA from 1 species
GGACGAACGCUGGCGGCGUGCUUCAUACAUGCAAGUCGAACGAGAAUCUGGCUUCGGUCAGAGGAAAGUGGCGGACGGGUGAGUAAUGUGUAGAGAAUCUGCCCUUUAGCGGGGGACAACAGUUGGAAACGACUGCUAAUACCCCAUAUGCGCGUAGCUGAGAUGCUAUUCGUGAAAACUCCGGUGCUAAAGGAUGAGUCUGCAUCUGAUUAGCUAGUUGGGGGUGUAAUGGACCACCAAGGCGACGAUCAGUAGCUGGUUUGAGAGGAUGAUCAGCCACAAUGGGACUGAGACACGGCCCAUACUCCUACGGGAGGCAGCAGUAGGGAAUUUUGCGCAAUGGGGGAAACCCUGACGCAGCAACGCCGCGUGAUUGAAUAAGCCCUUCGGGGUGUAAAGAUCUGUCAGUGGGGACGAAACUUGACGGUACCCACAGAGGAAGCAUCGGCUAACUCCGUGCCAGCCGCAGC